rnacentral:rRNA from 1 species
CCUACGGGAGGCAGCAGUGGGGAAUUUUCCGCAAUGGGCGAAAGCCUGACGGAGCAACGCCGCGUGAGGGAUGAAGGCCUCUGGGCUGUAAACCUCUUUUAUCAAGGAAGAAGAUCUGACGGUACUUGAUGAAUAAGCCACGGCUAAUUCCGUGCCAGCAGCCGCGGUAAUACGGGAGUGGCAAGCGUUAUCCGGAAUUAUUGGGCGUAAAGCGUCCGCAGGCGGUCUUGUAAGUCUGUCGUUAAAGCGUGGAGCUUAACUCCAUUUCGGCGGUGGAAACUACAAGACUAGAGUGUGGUAAGGGGCAGAGGGAAUUCCCGGUGUAGCGGUGAAAUGCGUAGAUAUCGGGAAGAACACCAGUGGCGAAGGCGCUCUGCUGGGCCAUAACUGACGCUCAUGGACGAAAGCUAGGGGAGCGAAAGGGAUUAGAUACCCCUGUAGUCCUAGCCGUAAACGAUGAACACUAGGUGUCGGGGGAAUCGACCCCCUCGGUGUCGUAGCUAACGCGUUAAGUGUUCCGCCUGGGGAGUACGCACGCAAGUGUGAAACUCAAAGGAAUUGACGGCUGNGAGUGCGAGCGACACGAGGAGAGG